rnacentral:rRNA from 1 species
GAGCAACCUGCCCCUGACUCUGGGAUAAGCGCUGGAAACGGCGUCUAAUACUGGAUAUGUGACGUGACCGCAUGGUCUGCGUCUGGAAAGAAUUUCGGUUGGGGAUGGGCUCGCGGCCUAUCAGCUUGUUGGUGAGGUAAUGGCUCACCAAGGCGUCGACGGGUAGCCGGCCUGAGAGGGUGACCGGCCACACUGGGACUGAGACACGGCCCAGACUCCUACGGGAGGCAGCAGUGGGGAAUAUUGCACAAUGGGCGGAAGCCUGAUGCAGCAACGCCGCGUGAGGGAUGACGGCCUUCGGGUUGUAAACCUCUUUUAGCAGGGAAGAAGCGAAAGUGACGGUACCUGCAGAAAAAGCGCCGGCUAACUACGUGCCAGCAGCCGCGGUAAUACGUAGGGCGCAAGCGUUAUCCGGAAUUAUUGGGCGUAAAGAGCUCGUAGGCGGUUUGUCGCGUCUGCUGUGAAAUCCGGAGGCUCAACCUCCGGCCUGCAGUGGGUACGGGCAGACUAGAGUGCGGUAGGGGAGAUUGGAAUUCCUGGU